rnacentral:rRNA from 1 species
GACGAACGCUGGCGGCGUGCUUAACACAUGCAAGUCGAACGGAAAGGCCCUGCUUUUGUGGGGUGCUCGAGUGGCGAACGGGUGAGUAACACGUGAGUAACCUGCCCUUGACUUUGGGAUAACUUCAGGAAACUGGGGCUAAUACCGGAUAGGAUCUCCUGCUGCAUGGUGGGGGUUGGAAAGUUUCGGCGGUUGGGGCUGGACUCGCGGCUUAUCAGCUUGUUGGUGGGGUAGUGGCUUACCAAGGCUUUGACGGGUAGCCGGCCUGAGAGGGUGACCGGGGACAUUGGGACUAAGAUACGGCCCAGACUCCAACGGGAGGCAGCAGUGGGAAAUAUUGCACACUGGGCGGAAGCCUGAUGCAGCAACCCCGCGUGCGGGAUGACGGCCUUCGGGUUGUAAACCGCUUUCGCCUGUGACGAAGCGUGAGUGACGGUAAUGGGUAAAGAAGCACCGGCUAACUACGUG